AUUGAACGCUGGCGGCAGGCCUAACACAUGCAAGUCGAGCGGAUGACGGGAGCUUGCUCCUUGAUUCAGCGGCGGACGGGUGAGUAAUGCCUAGGAAUCUGCCUGGUAGUGGGGGACAACGUUUCGAAAGGAACGCUAAUACCGCAUACGUCCUACGGGAGAAAGCAGGGGACCUUCGGGCCUUGCGCUAUCAGAUGAGCCUAGGUCGGAUUAGCUAGUUGGUGGGGUAAAGGCUCACCAAGGCGACGAUCCGUAACUGGUCUGAGAGGAUGAUCAGUCACACUGGAACUGAGACACGGUCCAGACUCCUACGGGAGGCAGCAGUGGGGAAUAUUGGACAAUGGGCGAAAGCCUGAUCCAGCCAUGCCGCGUGUGUGAAGAAGGUCUUCGGAUUGUAAAGCACUUUAAGUUGGGAGGAAGGGCAGUAAGUUAAUACCUUGCUGUUUUGACGUUACCGACAGAAUAAGCACCGGCUAACUCUGUGCCAGCCGCCGCGGUAAUAC
rnacentral:rRNA from 1 species